rnacentral:lncRNA from 1 species
CAGAUCCUGACUCCGGCUUCCUGCUAGCGCAGACCUUGGGCAGCAGUGUGAUGAUGGCUCCAAGUAUCUGGGCUCCUGCUACCCACAUGGGAAGCAUAGAUUGAACUCCUGGUUCUCAGCUUUUGCCCAGCCCGGCCAUAGCCAUUGUGGGUAUUUGAGGAGUGAACCAGCAAAAGAGAACUCUGCGUGUCUCUAACUCUCAAAUUUAAAACACCGUUUGGUUAAAUAGCUCCAUUUUUAUCCUGAGGAGCAGUUGAAGGCAGCAAAAUGGCUUAGUGGGACUAGCACACAGGCGACUUUUCCUACUGAAACAUCUAAAGGGUCCUAAAUCACUCAUAGCAGCACUGCUCUAGUCCACCUGCAACCUGCAACUCCGCCAGCGCAGAAGGGGACAAAGAAUAAAUAAAGAGGGGAACGGAAGAAACAGCUUGUCCGGCUCUGGUGUGCCGCUCAAUGUUAUCUUUCCUCUCCUGUGGGCUAACUCAGAUGAGAAUUUCUAUGCAGCCAGAUAGACUUAAAUACCCCGACCAAGCGGCUGAUACGAAUACGACGUUCUGAUCCCCCUCUAGAGCUUGUCAAAGGGACUAUGGGAAUCAAUUAACCUCAAGUAAAUGAGAAUGAGUAGAGGCGAACCAACCCUCUUGGAACGCAGGAGUUUUUAAAGAACUGGGAGUGGGCUAAACGCCAAGUUCUGCAACGGUAGGGAUCAUCGUGUACCCACUGCACCCCGACCCUAGCACAGGGCCUGGCACAUAGUGCGCUAACCACAAACGUCUACUGAGUGAAAGGGCGGCAGGCUGAAUGCGUGAAUGAGUGAUGCAGGAGAAAGUUAAGACCAAGAACACCACCAUUCGGUAAUGGUGAAUGUCUUGUGAGGAGUGCAGGGUAGCUGAGGAAGGAGCGUCAGAUUGAGUGCAAAAUUUGCAACAGAGAUGUGAGACUCUACUCAGGGGCUUACGCAGGACUGUUGGCAGGGCGUCUGCGGACUUGGGAGUCCCGGCGCUGAGGCGCACCCCGACCUGAGCUCUGAGGCGGCCGUCAGCCCCGCGGCGCCAGCGGAGAGCAGCCCUGCCCCGCCGGGGAGGCCCUGGGGGGGGGCGUCUUCGGCCGCGCCGGCGCUCGCCGAGAGCCAGGAGGACCAGAGCAUAUCCAAGGAGUGGCUGCAGUU